rnacentral:misc_RNA from 1 species
CAAGUGCGAUACGUAGUGCGAGACGCACCUGUGAGUCAUCGAGUCUUUGAACGCAUUUUGCACUCGCAAGAGUACAUCUGCCAGAGCCGAGUACAGAGUAGAGUAGGAAUUCGACUUGAGCACGUAGUGCUUGCAAGGCAUUGGACGGGUCUCAACCACCUAAUUCCGACACGCGCUUCGCUCUGGUCAGAUGAGAGCACCCGCCGAACUUAA